rnacentral:rRNA from 1 species
GAUGAACGCUGGCGGUAUGCCUAACACAUGCAAGUCGUACGAGAGUUUUUAACUCUAGUGGCGGACGGGUGAGUAACACGUGAGAAUUUGCCUUUAGGAGGGGGAUAACAAUCGGAAACGAAUGCUAAUACCCCAUAUGCUUUUGAGUGAAAUGGAUUUAUCCGCCUAAAGAGAAGCUCGCGGCUGAUUAGCUUGUUGGUAAGGUAAGAGCUUACCAAGGCGACGAUCAGUAUCUGGUUUGAGAGGACGAUCAGACACACUGGAACUGAGACACGGUCCAGACUCCUACGGGAGGCAGCAGUGGGGAAUUUUCCGCAAUGGGCGAAAGCCUGACGGAGCAAUACCGCGUGAGGGAAGACUGCCUAUGGGUUGUAAACCUCUUUUUUCAGGGAGGAAUAAAAUGACGUGUACCUGAAGAAUAAGCAUCGGCUAACUCCGUG